rnacentral:lncRNA from 1 species
GGCAAUCCCAUGGUGAAAGUGCACACAGCUCAUUCCUGCAAGACUUUGCACUGUUCACAGCUCCUCCUGAACCCUGCACCCUAAGAUCCAAGCAGAAAAUAAUGAGCAAAAUAUUAGCAAAAUCCGUGGGUCUAGACAUAUCUUAAUUACCAGUUUGGACUCCAUUCUGACUGAAGAGAUGAAGUGAACAUUGGCUUUAAGUUUUCAAGUACACCCAGCUAAGCUACGCCUUCCAAACAUCAUACAUAAGGCAGGGAGUAUCCUGUUCAGUGUCAGAACAGAUGGCAGAAAGCUUGGAGGAAUUACUGCUUUGCAGGCAGGACAAAAGAACGAGAGCCCAAAUGCAGCCAGCCAGCUGAGAGCACACUGCUGCUCCUGCAAAGCUCUUCAAGGAGAAAUGCUGACACAGCCAUUUCCGGCACUAUUUGCUGCUGCAAGGAAUACUUAAGACCUGCAGAAGACCUGUUUUCAUGGAAACGUUGUCUACUAAGCAGUAGCAGACUGCUUCAUCUUAGACUUGAUCAUCACAGAGCGAAGAGGAAAACCUACAGCACUGAGAAACCUCCUUGCCUGCAACAGCCCACGUUCCUUUCUCAUGCUCAAAUGCCACUUUGUUCAUCAGUCAAAGGAAACUUUCUUGUGACCCUGUUGUAUGUUGCCCAGCAAAUCUGGAGGGCAGAAUGGAAUAUGAAGCAAAGAAAACAUGACAGCAGGAAAUGGAGGAGGAAAAGAUCUACCCGCCUUGAAAUGGGCUGAUGGACAAGUCUGAGAGUGACUUUUCAAAGGGCCACAUGAGAUGACAGCUUGCAUUGGGGCUGCUUUUCAAACACUGCAAGAGAAGGUUCCAAAACUGUCAGAGGACCAAGUAGUUGAAUCAUUUGGAGAGGCAGAUGCUUUUUUGGAUACUUGUCAGCUCUUGAAAGGCUUCUUAUGGUUCUCUGCAGCCCAGCUUUCUUUCAAAGCCUUGCAUGGAAAAGUUAUAACGGAAGGCAACAUUUCAGAUCAGUGAAUUUCUGCUGCUCAUGUGCAUAUAUAACUUUGUCUGAGAGAUUGACUUGAUUUCAGGACAUGGUUUUAAUGUGGUGCAUGAAGUAGCUGGAGCUCCUUCAGCUUCAUAAAAUUUGAUGCUCUGGGUGGGUGUUGUGUUGGGAGGAGAGAUUUCUGGCUUAUAUGGCUCUUCAAGUGGAAGAGGAUGACUUCUCAAAUGCUUCAAGACAUGAGGUUUGAUUUUGUGCCUGAGGUAGAAUGGAAAGGGCAGGAGAAUGUGGAUCCUCAGCCUUCCCAAACACUCCAUCCAUUUCUUUCUUUCUUAUGGGAAAGCGUGGAUCAGCUCUGAAUUAGGAGGAUCAAAGGGUGUUGGGGCCAGUUUUAAAAUUAGAGCUGGAAGGAGCUCUUAUCUUCAGCUGGGCUUUAUCAGACGGGUAGGCAGGCCUUAUCCCAUCCCGUAAGCCCCUCUUCUGGAGGCCCUUGAACGCCAGUGACAACAAAACUAUGCCGUGUUGAAAUCGUCGCCUGAGGAAACGUGAAAUAUCACACGAGGAGGGAUGGGUGGAAGACGUGGCAGUGCGUUCACCCCCCAUCCUCAGCUGUGGUCAUAUUUCAACAGCAGAAAACUGCUGCAAGAUUGGAGUGACUUGCUUUGCUGUAGCUGUUUUGGGGAAAACAAAGCAUCUUCCCACUCCGGCUGCCUUGCUGUCUGCAGUGCGUGUAGGGAUUAUCUUGCUGGUUGCCCCCUUCAAAGAGCUCAUUAAUAUCACCAGGGAUAUAUAUAUAUUUUUGCUAUAAUAAUGCUGGUGUUGUUCCAAGCCCUGUUGUAUAUGAUUCUUCAUGUUCUACUCCAGAUCAGGUGCUGGAAGUGUUUGAUGUGGUGCUAGCCACAAACCAAAAUGUUUUCUGCAGAGGGAGGCCUGGAAAGGAUAAAUCCUACCCUGAGAUGAGGGUUUUGCCUGGAAACCUCAGACACAAAUGGCCUGGAAAAAGAAGCAUUUAAGUCUUAUGCUUAGCCCUGAGGCCACAAAUCCUGAAAGCAAGCAACUCUUCCCCCAUACCCAGGAUCACAAUAUGGUUUAGAUUGGAAGGGACCUCUGGGUCCGUCUGGCCCAACCCUGCUAGAAGAGAAGGGACAGCCAGAGUAGGGUGCCCGGCUUCAUGUCCUGGUGGCCUUUGGAGAUCUCCAAGGAGGAGAUUUGUCUCUGGGCAACUGUUCUGUUGCUCAGUACUCCACCCCUCUUUUCCUGGGGUACCUCUAGUUUUGCACCAUGCACCUUUGCAGUAACAGCAAAGGGACAAGAGGGCUGUGACUCCUAUCUCAGGAGCAUGAUGAGGACCACAGCCCUUCCUGCUUAUAGCAAGGCUAUCUUCUGCCCUUUCCUGCUUGAGUCACAGGAGGCUGGUCUUCGGAGGUGGUCCUGGUGUUCUUCCAGGAUUUAUCCUAGCUGAGGUAACACAUAUACCCUCCAGGUAUUCUCUAGCUUGAAGCUGGUUAUUGAAGGUGAAAAUCAACCAGUUGAUGAGCUUGGCUGAGAUCUUGGAGCUUAACUAUCUCUUACAAGCUUUCUCCUCUUUCAGAUAGGUCAGCAGUCCAUCCUCAGACAACUUCACAGAGCUGGUAGACUUGAUGAUGGGAAGGUUUCCUCCCCUCUCCACUGAAACAUGGGUUAUGAAGCAGUUGUUUGCUUACAGAGCAGCUCUUGGAUUCAGUAACUUGAACUAAAGUGCUUUCUACAGGCUUUUUGCAUUCACACUCCCUCAGCUUCUAUAUUUCUAAUGAGCUCUUGACAUUUUUACUCUUUCCCUCUCUGCUGCUGGGAUGAGUCUGUGAUCCGCAGCCCACAC